AGCAUUGUUGUUCUAUUUGACAGGCAUCAUUUCCAACUAUGAAGAAGAGAAGGAAAGGCUCUGCACACGAUAUGAACAACUGAAUGCAGAUGACGAAGAUAACUACCAGGUUCUUUGUAAAGCUGUGAAGGAGUAUCGGACUACAAUGAAGGAAUAUUUCCACGAUGCAGUAGAGGCAUUUGCUAAGGAGGAUCAUGAUCGAGCAAACAAACUUGUAGAACAAGGAAAAUUUUUCCAAGAAAAGGCACCCGAAGUGGAUGAAGAGUCAAAUGAAAUGAUUCUUAGAACAAGAAACGUUGAGACACAAGGUGAAAUAGUGCUUGG